AUGCUCUGUUCCAUAUUCAUCCUCCAUGGCUUCUGCAAAAUAGUGAGAAGGCAAGAAAUGAAGUCAUCCAAGACAAAUUUUGGCAUUAGCUGUGUUCCAAAUCAAAGAAAGAAGAAAAAGAAAGAGAAAAAAAAGAGAUUAUGCUUCAAUCUAUACUCUGAGUCCAUUAGUUCUCUAUUUCAUCAUAAAUCCUUUGGAAUUGUGAUGUAUGCUGGCCUCUGAUCCAUUUCCAGUACCUUGGCACUUGAAACAGUUGUCUGUAUUGAGCUAUUCCACUGGCUUAGAAAACUGGGAUAUCUAUCUGUCAUCCAG